rnacentral:rRNA from 1 species
CACUAUGCUUAGCCGUAAACAAUGAUAGAGUCCUACACCCCCUAUCCGCCUGGGUAUUACGAGCAUUAGCUUAAAACUCAAAGGACUUGGCGGUACUUUAGAUCCCCCUAGAGGAGCCUGUUCUGUAACCGAUAAACCCCGUUAAACCUCACCCUCCCUUGUUUUUCCCGCCUAUAUACCGCCGUCGUCAGCUUACCCUGUGAAGGGUCCAUAGUAAGCAAAAUUGGCACUGCCCAGAACGUCAGGUCGAGGUGUAGUAAAUGAGAGGGGAAGAAAUGGGCUACAUUCGCUAAUGUAGCGAAUACGAAUGAUGUAAUGAAAUCGUACAUACUGAAGGAGGAUUUAGCAGUAAGUGGAAAAUAGAGUGUUCCACUGAAGUUGGCUCUAAAGUGCGCACACACCGCCCGUCACUCUCCCCAAGCUUAAACAAAUAACCACCUAACUAAGACAAUACCGCCGCAAAGGGGAGGCAAGUCGUAA